UACGUAGGGUGCGAGCGUUGUCCGGAAUUAUUGGGCGUAAAGAGCUCGUAGGCGGCUUGUCGCGUCGGAUGUGAAAGCCCGGGGCUUAACUCCGGGUCUGCAUUCGAUACGGGCAGGCUAGAGUUCGGUAGGGGAGACGUGGAAUUCCUGGUGUAGCGGUGAAAUGCGUAGAUAUCGGGAGGAACACCAGUGGCGAAGGCGGCACUCUGGGCCGGUACUGACGCUGAGGAGCGAAAGCGUGGGGAGCGAACAGG
rnacentral:rRNA from 1 species